rnacentral:rRNA from 1 species
CCUACGGGAGGCUGCAGUGGGGGAUAUUUCACAAUGGGGGAAACCCUGAUCCAGCGACGCCGCGUGAGUGAAGAAGUAUUUCGGGAUGUAAAGCUCUUUCAGUAGGGAAGAAAGCAAUGACGGUACUUGACCAAGAAGCCGCGGCUAACUACGUGCCAGCCGCCGCGGUAAUACGUAGGGGGCAAGCGUGAUCCGGAAUGACUGGGUGUAAAGGGGGCGUAGACGGUGAUGAAAGUCUGGAGUGAAAGUGGGGGGCGCAACCGCCGGACUGCACUUGAUACUGUGUAACUUGAGUGCAGGAGGGGUAAGCAGAAUUCCUAGUGUAGCGGUGAAAUGCGUAGAUAUGAGGAGGAACACCGGUGGCGAAGGCGGCUUCCUGGA